CACAUGUUCUAUCACAACAAGUCAACAACAGUUUUCUCUCACCCACGGUUCUCUCCCCAUAGCAAUUUGAUAUCUCUCUCAGACGGUUCGAUCACAAUACGAUUAUUUCUCAAAAUCAAUUUAAUUUCUCCUACUAUUCUCCACCCAUAUAUGUAAAUGUUUAAUGGAAGAAGAAGCACAGAUACAGAGCAUGAGACCAGAUCUAAGAGCGACAAUAUGGAAGACACAUAUGGGGAUGAUCAAGAUGCCACAUUGCCGAGGAAGAAGAGAUCUAUCGGCUUCCAGCAAUAAAAUGAGAGGAAAGUUCGAACUCGCAUUAAGGAUUGUAAAGUUGAUGACAAAAGAUGGAGAAAUUUUGAGGCGUGGAGUAUCUUCAAGAAAUUGAAAGAGGAACAAAAUAGAAAUGGAAUGAAAAAAAAGUGGUGAAAGUUUAUUUAUCUUGAACAAUAAGUUUAGAUUUUAUGGAGACUGCAUCCUCUGAAUGUUUGUAAAAUGAUGGAUAUCUAUAAUGAUUUUCAGUUGUUUGUCACUUGGUAUAAUUUCGAAAGGAUUUUGGUAGUUUGAGCCGAACUUCUGUUUUUUACGUACUUAACCCCAACGAGGUAGGCUCACUACCUGAUCUGGGAAAUAGUCCAAUAGCCAGGAUGUUGUCUUAGGUUUAUUGACUAAUAUAUAUAAUCGAGAACUAAUUGUUCGACUUGACCAAUUUUAUAAUUUCUGUAGAUUUAACACAUGAACACGCUGAUGUUGUUCUUAGUUUUGAUGAUAUACGUGUUGUGCAAUUUUUUUUAGUCCAACAAAUGACAUUAACCUGACUCCCAUCUAUCUUACUCAAGAUUUAAUGGAAAGGUAUAUUGCAUUUUGAAAGAGUUACCUAUACUAACAGUGAUAGAAAUUGUGAUACUUUUCUCUGCCAUAACUUGAUCAUCAAUCUUAAUAUUGACGUGUUGAUUCUAACUAAAAUGAGUUAGAUCCGAGCUCUUCCACCAAGGCACCAAGGCAUAGGUGCUAGCAUGGUUGGAGAGGACCAUAGUCGAGAUGUUUAGAUGUGGAGAUUACAUCAUGGCAUCCAAGGCUAUAUCGAGUACACAAAGAACAUCCUCUUGCAUUUUUUUGAGUUAAAAUGUUUUAUUUAUUUAUUUAUAGUAUUUAUGUAUGGAUUGUGAUAUACUAUGUAGGUAUAUAUUUGUAGGAUAGAAAGAGUUUAAGUUGUUGGGCAGCAAAGCAACUGAAGUUAUUGCUCAAUAUCAUGAGGUUGAAAAAUCUGAUGUAAGUGCCCCUGAUAUUGAAAAUAGUUUGAUUGGUCAAGUUAUUCUCUUCAAGGUUCAACAUAUAAAUGAGAGUGAGUUUAGAAAGGAUCGUCCCUACACUGUGAAUAAGAUUAAUAACAAAAUAUUUCACUCACAUUGUUCUCUUGCUUUAAUUCCAUUAUACUAUAUAGGGUGAGGCGAACAAUUAAGAUGUUAAUAUCUUGAUUUGAUAUGUGUUAUGAGAGGGAUAUAUAGGCUUAUCACUUUUUUACAGUUUUGGUAGUUCCUCAAGUUUGUACUUUUCUUACAGCUUUGGUUAUACUCUUAUUCUUAUAUAGUUUUAUCCAACAGAACUGCUUUGAUUGUACCAUAA